rnacentral:rRNA from 1 species
AUUGAACGCUGGCGGCAUGCCUUACACAUGCAAGUCGAACGGCAGCACGGGAGCAAUCCUGGUGGCGAGUGGCGAACGGGUGAGUAAUAUAUCGGAACGUGCCCAGUCGUGGGGGAUAACGCAGCGAAAGCUGUGCUAAUACCGCAUACGAUCUAUGGAUGAAAGCGGGGGAUCGCAAGACCUCGCGCGAUUGGAGCGGCCGAUAUCAGAUUAGGUUGUUGGUGGGGUAAAAGCCCACCAAGCCGACGAUCUGUAGCUGGUCUGAGAGGACGACCAGCCACACUGGAACUGAGACACGGUCCAGACUCCUACGGGAGGCAGCAGUGGGGAAUUUUGGACAAUGGGCGCAAGCCUGAUCCAGCAAUGCCGCGUGCAGGAUGAAGGCCUUCGGGUUGUAAACUGCUUUUGUACGGAACGAAACGGCCUACUCUAAUACAGUGGGCUAAUGACGGUACCGUAAGAAUAAGCACCGGCUAACUACGUGCCAGCAGCCGCGGUAAUACGUAGGGUGCGAGCGUUAAUCGGAAUUACUGGGCGUAAAGCGUGCGCAGGCGGUUAUAUAAGACAGAUGUGAAAUCCCCGGGCUCAACCUGGGACCUGCAUUUGUGACUGUAUAGCUAGAGUGCGGCAGAGGGGGAUGGAAUUCCGCGUGUAGCAGUGAUAAUGCGUAGAUAUGCGGAGGAACACCGAUGGCGAAGGCAAUCCCCUGGGCCUGCACUGACG